GACUGGUGUAUAAAGUUGGCAUGGAAUUGACAUGCCUGGCAUGUCUUCACAUAAUCCAUGCAAUCCUUGACCGUUGGUCAAUAGUAGCCCAUCCUCUUUAUUUGGAAAUGUAGCUUUGGCCCCGACACAAAUACCUGAGUGAGCCUCCUCCAUUGCUUUGGAUGCAUCUUCUUCUCCCAAGCAUCUUAGAAACACGCCUUCGAAUGAGCGACGGUAGAGAAUUUCUUUGUAAUAAAUGAAUCGAGGUGCUCGACCUCGUAUCUCC
rnacentral:lncRNA from 1 species